rnacentral:lncRNA from 1 species
UUUCAACUUUUUCAAAACUGUGUUUGGUGUUUCUUGUCCUUCCCAUCUUAACUGUUUUUUAAUAUUAUUAAAAUAUAGGGCCGGAUAAUUUGGAAAACCUGAAGAAGAUAGCUGAGCAGUUCAAUAAGCAGGUUCCUGAAGCAGGUGCUGGCACAGCCACAGCACAAGAAGAGAAUGAUGAUGAUGAUGUUCCAGAGCUUGUCCCAGGAGAGACCUUUGAGACAGCUGCUGAGGAGGCCAAGGAUAGUUAGUGUUAUUGUGUUUUUUUUUCAACAAAGAAAAUCUUGAUUUUCAAUUUUAAGUGUUUUAGGUUGUUUUGUCCUCUUGUCAUAUACUUUAAACAGUCUCAAUACUUGAAUUUAAUCUGUUUUCCUUUGUCUAAAUUAAGUAUUACUUCUAUGCGCUAGAUUUCUGCCAAAUUUUAAGUAUUUCUGUAAGUGACAAGAAUUAAAUUUCUUAAAAUUUCAUUCAGUACAGCACAGCACAGCAGCACCUUGUGAAUGAAGAGACUAACGUUGCAUUUUUAAACUAUGCUUGUCUUUUAGAAAGACAUGCUACAUGCAGGAAAUUCUCUGUGCAUUGAUAACUAAGUUUUAAGUAUGCUCGUUUCCAUUUAAUUAAUGCAAGAACUAAAUUUACUCUAAAAUAUGAUGAAUACCAAUUGAUUUAAGUUACAAUUUCACUUUGCUUAAACAAAAACUAGCAAAUCCAUAUAUUUUAAAAAUCAACAAAAUCCUAAAUUUAUUAUUAAAAAGAUUGAAAAUCCAGCUUCUUGAAUUUGAAAGAAGUUGAAGAUUUCAAAAGAUUUUCAUGAGUUUAUGAAUUAUUGUUUUUAUCUUUAUAUAUUGAGGUAUUUCAAAUUAAAGAUAUUAGAUUUUUAUUUUUAGGAAUUAAUACAUUUUCAAUUGAUUUAGUUUAAAUUUUAAUUUUUAGCCAAUUUUUUUAAUUUAUGUUUUAAAAAAUUAAUUAAUUAAAUGUAUAUAAUAUUUAUUUAUUUUAAUAAAUUCUCUUGUUUUAAUUCUAUAUUGAUCAAAGAGUAAACCUGUGUAUAUCCUAUAGGGUGAUGUUUAGUGGUUUAUAGAACUUGCUUAAGUGAGGUGAGAAGCUCUGUAUAUGUUUGGUGCUUAUGUAUGCAUAUGUCAUAUGUCCCCAAGGAGAUCUCCCUAUGUUCUUUGUGGAUGUCGCUUGGAAAACAUCACUUUAGGCGGGGAUCCAUGAGUCACCAUUUUUUGGGGAAAUAUAACACUACAUAGUCCCUCAAGCACGAAGGUUUUAUAAAGGGCAGAGUAUUUUCAAGGUUUCUUUCGUUUAUGAGGUACAUCUCUCAGCUUGGGGCGAGUCUCCCAAUUGAAGGCGACCUGUGUACCUCAGCUUGGGGCGAGUCUCCCGGUUGAAGGCGACCUCUUUUAUUUAUGCAAGUCCCUAAUUGAUGGAUGAAUCAUCUCCAUUUUUCAGAUGUCUCCCUAUUAGCUAAAAAUGUAAGUUGGAAUGUCAAUCAAUCAUUUAGAUGGUCACACUUACUUCUAUUUAAUGUAAGUAAUGAUUACCUAUUUUUUUAUACCUUAAACGUUAGUGGAAUGUGUCAGAAACGUGCUGAGUUUUUCAAAAUUAUGGGGGAGUCUAAAGGGUUCCUUGUGGUUCUAACUCCCCUAUAAAAGCUUUCUCCUUCCACCUCAUUUGCUCUAUUUUGCUCCCUACUUCUAUAAGCUCAUAUAAACUACCCAACUCCUCAUCACCCCAGAUUCUUCGUUCAGAACCUUCUUCCUUAUAUGAAUUUCCUUUUCUCUCGCUUUUUUUAAUAAGUUGGGUUUAUGAAGAAACAUUCGAAAUAUGGCUUAGGUAAGCGUAGGUCCGUAGGUUUUGAGGGUAAUACUUACCCCCUUUGACGAUUGUGAUUGUGGUAGUAAUUUCUUUUUUACCUACUAUUUUUCCAGAAAAAAAAAAGACAAUGGUUACCUCUAUGUCGUGUACAAGGAUGUCGAAGAUAUUGAACCUUAUUAUACUUCUGACGAACAAAUCCUCCAUUUCCGAUUAUAAAUGGAGGUUUCCUUUUCAGAAGAUGAAUACAGUGUUAUUCUAAAGGCUUGUUCGUCAUCAGAGAGGGUGGCCACACCGUCUCCUUUGAUAUUCCUUCUCUUUAUUGUUACUUCUACCUCCUUUUUAUUAAGGACAUGUAGGUUCUUUUACCCAUUUCACCUUUUUCCAUGGAGAUUUUGAGGGUUUUCAACGCUGCACCCUCCAAACUGUCCCCAAAUAGUUGGGAUUUUAUCAAAGCCAUGGCAUGUGAGGACCUGGACAUUACUCCCACUAUAUGAGUAUUUUUCUAUUUUUACACCAAUGGUUUGGAUAAGGGGAAUACCAACAACAACAACUUAUAAAAAGGUGACAACCCUAGUUAUCAAAGGCAACCACUAUACCAUUUGUAUUAGCAAAAUCCUCACCAAAACAAGUCUUCAGAGCUUGAAGAAAUAACGAAUUAGUUUACAGAUGUAUUCACGACCAACUAGAAGAAUAUUGAUCUUUUCAUCAAGAAUGUGGAAGUUCAAGUUGUAGUGCUUGCAAUAUGAAUGAUUGACAAAAAAAAAGGUGUCAAAUUCAAUGCAAAGACAUGGAGCAACCCAAAAUAAUAAUUAAUUUCAUUACAAUGUAGAGGGCGGAAAUAUUGAGAUUUAUGAAUUUAUUGAAAAGGAAAGUAAAUGGAUUUGACUGAUGACUUCAUGUUUGGUGGUAGAUUUAAAAAUAAUCGUAGUGUCUAAUUCAAAAAAAAAAUAGAGAUUUAUGGAGAGUGACACUACAUGCAUGCAGUUAUGAGAGGUGUAAGAUUUGAAAAAUAAUCAAUUUAAUUAAGGGUCAAGUAAUAAUUUUUCAUCACCUGGUGCAAUUCGAAAUAAUCCAUCAUUGCCAUAAUUGAUCAAUAUAGGUCAAAUGGAUAGGAACGACAUUACCUCCAAUGGUGAUAGACGAUAAGUGCCCUCACUUAUAAAUCACGGAAUGGACAAGCAUGAUAUAUAUAUAUAUAUAUAUAUAUAUAAUAUAUUAUAUUAUAUAUAUAUAAUAUAUAUAUAAUAAUAUAUUAUAUAAUAUAUAUUAUAUAUAUAUAUAUAUAUAUAUAUAUAUAUAUAUAUAUAUAUUAUAUAUAUAUAUAUAUAUAUAUAUAUAUAUAUACUUGCGAUCCGAGAUAUCGAGAAUACCAAGUUUCCUACGGAUGUGGAAGAAAGAAUUUGUCGCAAGUGGUUUUGUGAAGAUAUCGGCAAGUUGAUUUUUGCUAUCAACAUGCUCGAAGACAACAUCACCUUUCUCAAUAUGAUCCCUAAGGAAGUGAUGUCGAAUUUCAAUAUGUUUAGUGUGCGAAUGUAGUAUAGGAUUUUUGGUUAAAUUGAUGGCGCUUGUGUUAUCACAAAAAAUGUGUAUACGUUCAAGUUGAACAUUAAAGUCGAGUAAUUGUUGUUUGAGCCACAAAAUUUGAGCGCAAUAAUUGUCCGCAACAAUGUAUUCUGCCUCGACGGUUGACAAAGCUACCGAAACUUGCUUUUUGCUGUGCCAACUUACCAAGGAAUUUGAAUAAAAAUGACAAGUGCCACUAAUGCUAUUCCUAUCCGAUUUUCAACCGGCAAAGUCGGGAUCGGAAUAACCAACCAAAGAGCAAUCACUUCCCUUAGAGAACCAAAUCCCAUACUUUGAAAUACCAUAGAGGUAUCUAAGUAUGCGUUUGGCGGCUUUUAAAUGUGAUUCUUUGGGACAUGAUUGAUACCUAACACACAUACAUACACUAAACAUAAUGUCUGGUCGAGAUACGGUAAGAUGGAGGAGAGAUUCGAUCAUACCUCUAUACCUUUUGAUAUCUACGACCUUACCAUUUUCAUCUUGAUCCAUAUUAACAGCGGUAGGCAUUGGAGUGUCGAUUACUUUGGAGUUUUCCAUAUCGAAGCGUUUAAGUAACUCAUUACAAUACUUCAUUUGGCUCAUGAAAGUUUCUUCUUCAAGUUGCUUGAUUUGAAGUCCGAGGAAGUAAUUUAGCACCCCCAUCAUGCUCAUUUCGAAUUCUCCCUACAUCAACUUAGAGAACUCCUUGACCAAAUUAAUGUUAGUAGAUCCAAAAAUAAUUCAUCUACAUAGACUUGAACUAAAAUGGAGUGAUUUCCUUGACGUCUAAUAAAAAGGGUGGUAUCAACCUUCCCUCUUGAGAAUCCUUGCUUUAGUAGAAAUUUGCUAAGACGCUCAUACCAUGCCCUAGGGGAUUGUUUGAGGUCGUACAAAGCCCGCUUGAGCUUAUAAACAUAGUUGGGAUGCUCAUGGUUUUCAAAGCCGGGAGGUUGAUAUACAUAGACCUCUUCAUUUAUGUGACCGUUAAGGAAAGCGCUCUUGACAUCCAUUUGAAAUAAUUUGAAAUUUUGAGAACAAGCAUAGGCAAGUAAAAGGCGUAUAGCCUCGAGUCGAGAAACCGGAGCAUAAGUUUCCUCAUAGUUUAUGUCUUCCUCUUGGUUAUACCCUUGAGCAACAAGGCAGGCCUUGUUGCGAGUUAUGACUCCGUUUUCGUCUAACUUGUUCCUAAACACCCAUUUAGUUUCGAUUACUCGAUGGUCUCGCGGAUGGGGAACAAGAUCCCACACCUCAUUUCUUUUGAAUUGAUUAAGUUCCUCUUACAUAUCUAGAAACCAAUGUUCAUCGAGUAAUGCGUCUUUGGAGUUUUUAGGAUCAUUUUGAGAUACGAAAGCGAAGUGAUAACAAAAGUUACUUAUCUUUGACCGUGUGGUAACUCCCUUUGAGGUAUAUCCUAGAAUAUUAUUAAUGGGAUGAUCCUUGGAAGAUUUCCAUUCUAAAUGAAGAUCAUUGUUAUUGAUGGAAUGAUCCUCCUCUUUCUUUUCGGAAUUAAGAUCCGACUCCUCCUUGUCUUUUCCCGGAUGAGGUUCAACACGAUUUUCUUCUUGAUCUUUUAUAAUGUCUUCCGAAGGAACACUUGCACCAUCAACAAUACUACCUUCUCCAACAGUUUUCAGAUAAGAUUCAUCAAAGAAAACAUGCACGGAUUCUUCAACAAUAAGUAACCUUUUGUUGUAUACUCUAUAUGCUUGACUAGAUUCGGAGUAUCCAAGAAAGAUACAUUCAUUAGUUUUUGAGUAAAAUUUACCAAGUUUUUCUUUACCAUUGUUUAAUAUAAAGCACUUACAUACAAAGAUAUGAAGAUGUGAAACACUAGGGUUCCUUCCCUUUAGUAAUUCAGAAGGGGUUUUAUUUUAGAAUAGGACAAAUGAGUAUCCUAUUCAAUACAUAGCAGACCGUGUUUAUGGCAUUGGCCCAAAAAAAUUUAGGAAGGUUGUUUUCAUUGAUCAUAGUCCUUCCAAGCUCUUCUAAAAUUUAGUUUUUACAUUCCACAAUUCCAUUUUGUUGUGGAGUUCUUGGAGCAGAAAUAUUAUGAUCAAUGUCGUUUGUUUCACAAAAUUGCUCGAAGAGGUGGUUUUCAAAUUCACCUCUGUGAUCACUUCGAAUAGUAACUAUGCUAGUGUUCAAUUUGUUUUGAGACAUGUUGGCAAUUUUUUCAAAAGCAGAAAAGUGUCACUUUUACUUGCUAAAAAGAUAGUCCGGAAAAUAUAAAGUACUCGUCUACUAUAACAAAACCAUAGUAGUUUCCACCUAGACUUUUAAUUCUAGAUGGCCCAAAUAGGUCCAUAUGGAGAAGUUCAAGGGGUCUCGUUGUGGAAACAAUAUUUUUAGAUUUAAAUGAGAUCCUUGUUUGCUUUCCCAUUUGGCACGCAUCACAUAAGUGAUCUUUUGAAAACUUGAUUUGGGAAGACCAACUACUAGAUCUUUUGAGACAACUUUAUUAAGCAAGUCAAAAUUGACAUGCGUUAAUUGCCUAUGCCAAAGCCACGAGUCUUCACUCAUGGAGACGAGACAUUUAGUGCUUGUCGAGGAUACUUCAUUCAAGUUAAACAUGUAUACAUUAUUUUCCCUCCAGCCCUUAAGCACAUCGUUCUUAUUAUCAUUAUGUUCAAUCAUUCAACAAUAUUUUGAAAACGAGACUUUAUACCCUUUGUCACAUAAUUGGCUAAUACUAAUGAGAUUGUGCUUAAGGCCUUUAACUAAAAGGACGUCUGAGAUAGUAGUAGAGGAUGGAUUAUCUACACUACCUUUUCCGAGUAUAGCUCCCUUGUUAUUGUCACCGUAGGUUACAAACCCUUUCUUCUUAGCCACAAAGUCAAAGAAUAAGAAAGAGUCACCCGUCAUGUGUCUUGAGCAUCCACUAUAGAAAACCCAUGUUCUCUCUGUAUCCUCAAGACAUUUCACCUACAAAUUUAAACAAGGGAAGGAGGUACCCAAUUUUCAUUGGGUCCUAGUGUGCGAGUGAAACUUUGGUUGCAUUUUGGCAACCAUUGAAAAAUGCCUUUAGGAGCUAAAAAUCUCCUAAAUCGACAUUUAGCAAUAGUAUGUCCCUUUCUGCAACAAUAUAGACAAUUUAAGUUCGGAUGAGAGUUUCUUUUGCUAACUUGAUCCUUAACCACAUAAGUGUAUUUUUUAUAAGAAUUAUUCAUAUUGCUUCUAAAACGUGAUUGAUCAAUAGCAAAGGUAACUUUAGGUUGUAAAGCCUUGUCUAAUUUAGCUUGGAGAGUUUUAGCCUCUCUUUGCCAAAUGUGACAAGUUUCACAUCCAGACCAUCUAAACCAAAAUCCCUUAUUAUCUUCCGUUUUGCCUUUAGUAGCCUCUAUCAUGGAUUUCUUAAGAGUUUCUAAUUCCUUUUCGGAAUCAGAAAUCUUCUUUUCUAAAUGACUGAAAAUUUUCUUAUUUGAGGCCAAGUGUUUAAAAGCUUCUUUGGCUUUGUUGUGUAGAGUACUAAAGGCAUUUUGCAAAUCAGCAUAAGACAUUUUAUCAGUAUGAUCAUAUUUGGAAUGACUUACAUUCUUUUUCUUCUUUUGAUGAGCUGUAAGACAAAGAUUGACAAUUUCUUCUUCAUCACUUGAGUUAUCAUCGCUUGAGGGCUCAUUAUCGCUCUCCCAUGCAAUGUAUGCUCUUCUAGGUUUGCUAGGUUUGUUAUGGAGUUUGUCUUUUCCUUUGUCUUUCUUAAAUAAGGGAUACUAUGGCUUAUAGUGACCGACCUUUCCGCAAUUAAAGCAUGAUUCUUUUGACUUAGUUGUCUUGCCUUCCUCACGAUUUGGGAAUUUUGAUUGUCUUCUAUAGUCAACAAGAUUUUUGUCUGAAUGUUUGACUUCAUUUUUUCUAAGGUAUCGGUUGUACCUCCUAACGAACAACCCCAUGUCUUCAUUCGAAUCUUUGUCAUCAUAACUUGACUCACUUUCACACACAUCAUUGGUGGAUGACUUAUAUCUUGAAGCCUUUAAAGUGAUAGACUUCCUUUCGGUGUUCUUGUCUUUCUCCUUCUUCUCAUUCUUUUGAUUCUUCUCAUGUUUCUCAAGAUUCAUGAGCUCUUGCUCAUGCUCUUGAAGCUUUAUGGACAAUGUCGUCAUGUCUAAUGUUCUUAGAUCACUGGCUUCCUUGAUCGCGGUGACUUUUGGUAGCCAAUCCCUAUUAAGACAUCUUAAGAUUUUAUUAGUAGCAACAUCAUUAGGUGUAUUUCUACAAAGAGCAUUUAACCGAUUAAUUAGAUGAGAAAAUAUCUUAUGCAUAUCGGCAAUGGUUUCACCAUCUUCCAUAUGAAAAAGAUCAAAUUCUUGAGUUAGGAUGUUGAUUCUAGCUAGUUUGACAUCAUUGGUUCCCUCAUGGGUAAUUUGCAAUGAGUCACACAUAGCUUUAGCACUAGUACAAUGGGAGACCCUAUAAUACUCAUCAACACCUAAAGCGGUAAUGAGCAUAUUUCUAGCUUUCCAAUCGUAGCUAUACUUUUUCUCAUCCUCUUCAUUCCAUUGUGUUUCAGGUUUAGGAACAACAAAACCAUCCGCAUUGGUCAUGGUUAUUUCCAUAUGACCAUCUUGGAUGACUUUCUAUACUUUCUUAUCAAUAGAGUUGAUAUGGAUACGCAUACAAUCUUUCCAAUAACUAUAGUUUUCACCGGUAAAAAUAGGCGCCCUAUUGUACGCCCAUUUAGGAUCGUUACUCAUUUUCUAAAAAGUUAUAUGCGAAGCACUAGAGGAAUCGGCGCUCGUGAUACCACUUGUUAAACGAUAUUACCGAUCUAAAAGGGGGUUGAAUAGUCCAGUUUUAAACUUUAGCGCUUUUUAAAAAUGUUUUCAACGGUUGCGGAAGCACCGUAGAUUGUAAAUCGUCUAAAUGAUUCGUUAAUGGAAAGAUCAAAUAUGCGUGAAAUCGAAUGGAAUUACUUAAGAUAUAGAUUAUCAAUCCCUAUCUAAAUCAAUCUAUUAACCAUUAUGAUCCUUGAUAUUGUUACCUCUAAUAAUGAUUAACAUAAUAAGAGAUGAAGGAAAAUAUUACUAAGUUUAUGUGAGAUUAAUUUUAUCGAACACUUGGUGUGCACUUUACACCAAAUUUUAAUUUCACUCGAAUUGAAUGUGCAGAAUUUUACUCAGUUGCAAUCAAAGUGAUUGCAAUAAUUUAUCAAAUAGUUGCUAUGCACACCAAUCAAACGUUAUUGAUUUUAUGAUUAAUUUCACACAAAACGUAAUUAAUGCAUAAUUUAAAGAGUUAAGAGAUAGAGAGAACAAGACCGGAUUUGUUGAGGCAGUUCCCCUAUCGUCCUCGCUUAGGGUACGUUUGUCCUCAAUUCUAAAUCUAAAAUUGAGAUGUUUUUAUUAACAUGUUGCAAAGUCAAUACAAGAGAACAAAUGAUCACCACCAAUCAACCCCUAGAGUUGUUGCAUAUCCUAUUAUAUUCUCUCCCCUUGAUUCGAGUUGAACCAAGUUCUUCAAGCGCUUCGAACAAACCUCCGGUUACCGCUACCUUAUUGCAAGAACACCAUGUUCUCCAAAACUUCAGCUCGUCUGAUUUCGAAUGCAAGUUGCUUGAACCCUAAGCUUUCUUCACAAUCCUCUAUUUACCGCUACUUGUUUGACCGAACCUUCCGUUCUUCAAACUUUUCACUCGGUUGAAUCUGCGAACCAAAGGUUAGUGCAAAACCCCCCAAUUCUUGGAGGACAGAACCUCAAGGGUUUUAUUCAAGAAAAACCCACACAAAGUCUUAACCCAAACUAAUAUAAUCCAAUAUUAUUUGAACAUUAUCACAAUUGUAAUGUACAAUGCUCAACAAAGAUUAUUAUGUGUCAUUAUUGAGAAAUGCAAUGAAGAAUGAAGAUGAUGAGCACUUUGGUGUAUAUAUUUCACUUUUCUUGUUAAUUUUCUAAAGAGACAUAUGAAUAUUUAUAUGAUGCAUGGACCAAAUAACUAACAUAACAAAAAUAUUUUGUAAAGUUACACAGCAGAAAAUUAUGUAAAACAGGCGAUGAGUCGACUCAAACAGAGUUUAUUUCAAGGUUGAAUCGACCUAUGACUCGACCUAUUCGGACCCGUGGCAACAUGGUUCAAAUUAAAAUGGGAAAUGAGUCGGUGUAAGGAGUGAAUGAGUCGACUCAUUCAGGUUUUCCGGGAUUGAGUCGACAUGCGACUCGACCUGUUCGGACCCGAAGGUUUUGCUCCGAGUCAUGAGUCGACUCACAGAGCUUAAACACCCAAAAAUGAGUUUUGUAACGUAUUAUGACCAAUUUAAACCGAUCUCCUAUGAACCUAGGAUAUUUAUUAUGAUUAAGUGCAUAAUUCACAUAUAAGAUAUGCUCUUAUAUGCUUGGACACACUGAACCUAUAUUUUAAACAUGUUAAAGGAUAAAUGCUUUCUAUGCUAUGAUGAUAUUAUCUAAAGACACGUUGUGGGUGACUAGAGAGGUUUGACAUCAUUAAAAUAAGGACUAGGCAUAUUUGCCCUCACAUUUUUGUGUGUAAUUUGGUAUGUGUUUACUAUUUUGAAAUUGUUAAUAUUUUCCAUCAUUGUUGAAGGUUUGAAGGUUUGAAACUUUGAGGUUAAUAUGGUUUCGCGAAAAUUGAGAGUUAUAUGUGUCAAAUUGUUUUUAAUCAUUAUAUAAUUGUAGUACGUCUAAUUUUGAGAUUUGAUUUUUUUACGGAGUCAAAAUCGGAGGUCCAUAAGGGCUUCUAUGGUGGAAAAUGCAGAAUUUUAUGCAUUUUGCACAAUGAUGACGGGCGUCAGCCUGGCUGACGUCGCACUUGUCAUCGCGCUAAAGGAGAUGAGUCAGAGAGGUAUGAAAGGCGUCUUCCCGUGGAGGAGCGCGGUUUUCUUCUAGGACGUUAGUGAUGACAUAGCGAUUUGUGAAAUUGACAUUUUCCCCUUAUUUUUGCCAUAACUUGAGAUCUGUGACUCCGUUUGAGACACAGUUCGAAGCAUUGGAAAGUUAACGCGUAAUAAUUUUAAGUUGUAAUGCUUUUGGAGGAUGAUUACGAUAAAUGUUUUAUGAUUUGAAUAUUUCAAAUAAAAGUUGAACUUGGAACUUAUUUUAUCUCUCGAUAAUUUUUGUCGUAACUUUUGAUUUGUGGGUCCAAAUGACGUACCAUAUGAAGCGUUAGAAAGAUAAUGCUCAAAGAUGAAUCAUGGUAGUUCUUGGUGAGAUAGUUGAGAGUUAGACAUGUGCCUACUGUAUGGAUACUUAUGCUGACAUGUAUGAUCGGUUAAUGAAUUGUUAUGUUUAUACGAUGAUGUGUUAUUGAUUUGGUGAAGUAACAUGAAUGAAUGUCUAUGAAGUUACAUUUAUGGAGGUACUGCUAUUUGUUGUUGUUUAUUGAUAUUGUAACAUGAAUUGUUUGUUAUGUAUGAUGAAUGAUGUGAUACAUAAAUGGUGAGAUGUGUAUGAGGAUCCUUUUGGUGAACCUUUUUUUGAUAAUGCAUGUUGUCGAGAGUCAUGCAUCUUAAUGUAUGGGCUUUGGUCCAGUUUUGGUGUGCUCUGGUCUGUCGCGACGAGAUUUUUGAAUGCAAGAUAUUGGGUUACCUUGCCUCAAUCGAAUCACUAAAGCAAGAGUCACAACCGAACUUUAUUGUAUCCAAAGACAUGGAAAGGGAAGAUAUCAAUAAAACCCUAAGAAAGAAAUCUAGGUAAGCAAUUCGGUUAUGCAAAGGGAAGGUGUUGGGCACCCUUCACAUCCUUGGUACAAAGGGAACCAUUGAUCAUAUAUGUUAUUUGCCUUAUUAUGAGUAUCGAAAGGUGAGUGGUUUUAAAAUAAGAAAAGGAAAUGGAGAGGCUGUAUUUUCAUUAUGCUUGCAAAGAUUUGUGUGAAUAUCUCAUGUCUACGUACCCCCUAAGUGCAAUGAAGGAUCAAAGCUUCGUAGUUCACCUAAAAGGUUGUUUUGUUUAUUGGUUGAUUUUAUUUGAGGAAGUGAUAAUAGGCCUUCUCACUUGAGAGAAUAUCCAUUAUACAUCACUUUGUUCUUUCUUUCUCUUUUGUGGUCCACCCUUGUGGCCGGUUAAUUGCGAGGCUAAAAGACACUCGGCUUACAACAUUGGUUGGGUGCUUGGUAUAUGGACCAAGUAAGUGCAGGGGUUAAAAGUAAAGUGAAGUUUGUGUUUUUUUAAAUCUUUGAUUAAGUUAAAGCCUUUAUUGGGUGUUUUGACAUGCAAACAGGGUGGUUUACUAAGUUAUGGACAAAGGAUGAUGAAAAGUUUUUCAUGCAAGAAAUUAACUUUAGUUUGAAUGGUUGAUUUUAGGUUGAUUUUAGUUUAAGGCAUUAAAGCAUACAACCUCUAACCUACCCCUCAUACAAAGUACCAUACCCCUAUCUAAGUAUAGUAUCCAUAGUAUCCUUAUUACAUCACUUUGAAAAGCAAGAAAGAUAAACUAGUCCUAAGGUGAUAUUUCCUUUCACACGUGGAAUCUCAAAGAAAAAUAAAAGGAAAUGUGAAAGAAACCAAUCAAAUGAAGAGAUAAGGUAUCUCUUGGUCUCUUUCCGGUAUCACUUGAUUUGGAAUGGCUCUUCCUCUUUGCAAUUUUCUUUUUCACCAUGUUUGGAGGGAAACUCUUGAAUGUAACAAGAAGAGAAACAAUGCUAAUGCAAUACUUAACAAAUUUUAAACUAUAACAUAGAAUCAAAAUUGUUAGUAAACUUCAAAAUAUGAAAUGGAGAAGUGUGGGUCCAGAAUGACAUAUAUUUUUUGGAGAUUUUUCUCAUGUAAGGAAGAGCAUAUUUGAACAUGAUUAUCAAGGCACAUCACAAAUGGAAUACAAACUAAACAUGAAUUCCAAACAAAAUGAAAUGAAAAUGGAAAAAGAUAAAAAUGAAAAAACACUUAACAUAUGAAAUGACACAUAGUGAGAUUAGAAUCAAAUGCAAAUAAGACACAUCAUUAAUCAUGCAAGUUGACAAAAUGGGAAUCAAAACAAGGCAUGCUAGCAAGGUAUAAACCCUAAUCUACAACAUGCUUGAACAUUGGUCCAAAAGUGAAAGAUGUAAACAUGAUAUCAAAAACAUUUUAAUUGCUUUCAUCUCAUAAAAAAUGAGCGAGUUAUGGGCUUGGGAAGUUGACCUCCUAACUAGGGUACAGACAAAAUGACCUAUAAUCUUUCAUCAUAAAAAAAUAACUUUUCAAGCAAAAAUAGCUCUAGACUUAAACAAGAAAUUUGUUUGUAAUGUCAUUAUGAGUAACUUUUAUCUUGGAAUAAUUUUCAUAUGACAAAAAUUGUAGGAGAUAGGAUUUAGGAAACCCCAGUUUUGACCAAUUGACUUUCUCUGGUCAACCACCAUGAACCAUCUUGCUAGCUUGAUAUUCUCUUGAUUUUUGGGACUCAUGGAGGAUAAUAUAUGUAUAAGAUGAUGUAACAAUGAAGUAUCCCUUGAAUUAUUUGAUCAAAUGUUGAAGAAACUUGUUGAAAAAGUCACACAAGAUACCUAGAUGAAUUAGGGUUUCCAAGACAAACAAGCUUCAAACUCUUGAUGAUUUCUUGAUUAAGAUGACAUGUGAAGACCAUGGGGAUCAAUAUAUGAUGUCUAAAGUCAAUGCAAACCAUCUCUUGAUUGGUCUCCUUGCAUUGAGGGUCUUAAACCCUAGAUAUGAGCUUGAUGGAGCAUGGGUGAACUUACAUAUUACCUACAAAAGCAACAAACUAUACAUGGACAUACUUUUGGUAUUUUGGUUAGUAAAUAAUGAAAAACAAAGUAUAAUACAAUCAAAUGUGCUUGGUGAUCUCUCCCUUUGAAAUCCUAAUGAAUGAGGGGUAAGGAGGAUGCCAAUAUGUGAUCCCUAAGCCAAUGCAUAUGAUGAGAUAGCAAGAGGGAUCUUAGGGUCAAAAUUGGGGUCUCACAUCAUGAUGUCGUUAUUAUUGAUGAAAGAGAUAAGUUUCAACCCGAGCAUGGUGAUUUAUGGCUUGUCCCGAAUCCGAGCAGGGUGGAUUUGAGGUUCGAGUAUGGUGAACAUGGUUUGAUGAGGAACCUUUUGAUGAUAUGGUACCACAUGUAUAUGCAUAAAAAGUUGCAUAGUUGAGUUGCAUUGCAUUAUGAGUUGUAUGCAUCAUUAUUGAGUUGUGGUUGAUUAAUGAGUUUAAGUGUGAAAUUGUGAAUGAGUUAUGAUUGAUGAGUUGGUGUGAGAAUGUAAUUCAUAUAUUGUGAUUUGAGAUUGUGUAGAUUAUGCUAUGUGUUGAUAUCCUACCUUAUAGUAUAUGCAUGUUAUUAUUGAAUGUGAUUUCUCACCCAUUUUGUUUGAAUGUUGCCUUUACAUGGACAUCGUGCAGAUACUCGAGAGUAAAGUCGUCAUUGUGAACAAGGCGGGUAAAGAUACAAGGCAUAAAUUUAAAUAUGCAAACACAUAGUCACAUAUGCAUUUAGAAAGGGAAAAUCACACACUUUAUUGAAUCAAAUUAUACUGAAAUUCAAAGUACAGAAAAGCGAGAAAUUGCAUAAAUUAAAAUAAUGCAAAAACAUAAAAACAAACACACUUAAAAACUAAAACACAUAGGUGGGAAUAUUCUUCAUCAUCAAAAUCAUCACCGGUGAACAAUCUUAGAUGUAGUUGUCUCAUGUAUUGAGUGGGAUGGUGGGCUAAGAAUUUGAUCUUGUCAUUUGUCUUUUCCAGUCUCUUGAUUAUGUUCUUGAGUAGGUAUUCAACACAUGGUAGUUUAGGGAUAUCAUAGUCCCACCCAUCUAGGUUCACAUGUACUUCUUGAUCUUCCAUCUUUCUCUUCUUUCAUUUAUAGGGGUUUUCAAUCAACUUUCCAUCAAUGAUCUCAUACCUCAUUGUUGCUUAUUCUAUUUUUGUCAUAUCUUCUUCAAAUUCUUCAUUCUUUAGGUCGAAACAAUGGUGUGUUCCAAGACUUUUGUGACAAGGUUACAUAUGGUAAGCACAUUCCUUUUCUUUUGCUUACCAACAUAUAUUGAAUUACUUCCCUUGCCUAGUUGAUUUCGAUUUUGUUUGCAAUCAUCCGUAUAGUUUCAACAUAAAACCUGGUUAGAAGACAAAAUUUUCUUUUACUUGGAAAGAUUAUGUGAUUGAUCAUAUAAUGGAUCAUACGAAUAUUGGGGAAAAUGAAGCCUACAAUGAAAGGAUUGAGUAUCAAGGAUGUUGAGUUUUUCAAAAACAAUGACACAACGGACUUGAAGUUGAAGUUGUCGCCUUGUUCUUCUAACUUUAAGAUAUGUCCUUCGUGUGGGAAGAUCCAAAGUUCUUGCAAAAAUAUUAUAGUGAUAAAGAUAUAUUAUGUCUUCUAAUUUCAGAGUAAAUUAUUCCACCAGUAAAAUAGAGGUUUGAGAAGAACAUAUUAACCAACGAUGGAUACACCUUUCUUGAAGGGCUGUAGAGGAAUGUGGAUAAGUUUAGCUCUUUAAGGAUCUUUAAAAAUUCACAUUCCUUGAAGACUUUAGAAUCCAACGUGUGAAUUCUCAAGACGGUUCUGCUUGCGAAGUCUUGGAAGAAUCAUCCUUAUUGUUGUUGAGAUGUGAAAUCAUCGUUGAGAGGGCUAGAGGCAAAUCUCAUCCUCAUAAGAGCCAUGAUGAUGAUGUUGGUUAAGCUUAAGGAAUAAUCUCACAAACUACUAGAGAGAAAUAAAAUAUGUGAUGCAAAAGAAUGAUAAAUUGUUACCUAUUUAUAGCAGAGUUUCUAGUGAUUUUGAGCGUGUAAAACUUGCACAAAAUCAAAGAGGAUUGUGCACAGUAAAAUUUAGACCCAAAUCUUCCCAAAAGUGCUUGUCCAAUUGGUUUGGUUAAGGCUCAAAUCGACCGGGUCAUCAAUUUUUCAAAAAUAUUGAGCAAUUUCCAUUAAUGAAUGGAUUUUAUUGACUUGGAAGCGAAGUUUCAAUCAUAUUUGGUUUGGAAAUCAGAGCUCCAAAGUGAUCCAAUCGACUGACUCAAGGCUCCAAUUGAUUGGGCUUUUACAAUUCAGCUUCUUGAGUGCUUUUUGGGCCUUGUGUUGGAUUUUGCUUUGACUUUCUUAUUUUCCACACUAAUGGCUAACUUAUUUUCACCCUUUCUAUAAAAGCACUAACAAACUCAUCUAUUUGGUUAGAAAAAAUAUUUUAAUCGAUGAGCAAAGAAUUAAACACACUAUUUGAAAUGAUUAAUCAUAGUGUUCAUAUCAUUCAACCUUUAAGAUAAUGUCCUACCAUGAUUACUAAUUAACCUUGAUAAAACCUCCCCUUUUUAAGGGAAUGUUUACACAAUGCGACAUGUCCUUCUUUGUGAGUUAUUGGAUACGAUAGUUAGUUAAACCACAAUAUAGACAUGUCUACCAUAGACUUAUUUUCUCAACAUACUACAAGGUUAACAUAUCAUCUUAGAUCAGAGAUGUUGAGACCAUCCUCAAUGAAAUAUUUGCUUUGAUCACAAUUGUUGAUAUACAUCAUCAACAAGCAUUCUUAGAUCAGAAACUUCAAUUAAAAAAUUAUUGUAUACUUGAGAGAAUACUUUUUACUUUGCUUAACUUCAUUUAAAAUGCACCAAUACUUCAUGCAAGCUGCAAAAUAUCCAUGCAAAAACAUACAAGGGUUUCACCUUUCGUACCUAAAUUUUCUUGGGUCCCAAUGCGUCAAUGGCUCUAGAAGGUAUAAAUUACUACAUUUAGACCUUUUCAAUUUGUCAAAGCAAAAUGACUAUAGUUGGACAAAUCUAUUACAAUGAGAGCAUUUUAAACAGGUUGAUUCACUUUCUUCAUGUUUAAUUCUUUAUUAUGUGUUAUACCUGAUUUAAACCCUAAUCCAAUUUUAAUUAAGGAAGGUCUUUGACUAGAUAAAAUCAAGUCAAGGUUUUCUUUCCCCUUAGUAAAUUUACCUAUGGUUUCAUGCAAAUCUAUCUCUUCCUUUUUCAUCAAGACAUAAGUCUCAUAGGUUCUAGGUGAGUUUCUAAUAUCAUCUAUUUCGUGCUUAGCAUUUUCGUUACUCUUUUCAACAAACUCAAGAUAAUCCUUAAGGUCUAAGUUACAUUUUUUGAUCUUAUCAUUUUUUUUCAAUUAACUUAGAACUUAAUUUAAAUAGUUGCUUGUAUGAUAGCUUUGUUACCUCAUGAUCGUCUUCUUCGUGACAUAUUUUCAAGCAAACGUCAUUUCCUUUGUUGGAAGAAAAAUCUUUGAAGGUUCUUUUCAAGGUUGAAUCUUCAUCAUCUGUAGAGGAUUUUAUCUUUUCUUUUUUCUAAGAUUACACUAGACGAGGCUUCUUCUUCUUCAUAUCAUCUCACAUAUGAAGUUUUUUCAUUUGAUGUUGAAUCCUCCAAAGAUUGUUUAACUACAAAGAUUUUUAUUUCAAAGGAAACCGCAUGAGUUGUUUUGUAGGAGUUUGAUAAAGUUGUUGAGGAUUCUUCAAGCUUUGAGUUUAUACCUUCAUCUUUAAGUCAUUGAACUAUUCAGUUCAACUUUUCUAUGAAUUCUUCCUUCUUCUAUUUUACUUGAAAGUCAUAAAUACUCUCAUCUCUUGAUUUAAGGUUUGGACCAUAUUUCUGAUUCCAAUUCUUAACUCUUAGAUAUUUAUGAGUAACAAAUGUUCUAACAUUAUUUAUAUCAUUUCUAAAUUUAGAGAAACAUUUAUGAAUGAAACAUUUAUCUUAUUCGCCUCGUGUGUUCAUCCACUAUUGUUUGAUAUUUGGAGAAACUCCAUUAUAUCAUCUCAAAAGUGUCUCACAUUUUCAUGACGGAUUUGAAAUUAUGAAAUAAAAGAAUUGAUAACAUCUAAAGAAAUAACAAAAAAAUCUUAGUUUUGAAAUAAAUUUCAAACUUUCUCUUUUGCUCUAUGAUCCAAAGGAAAUCAUGCUUAUCUACUACUUCUCCGUUUAUGUGGUGAGUAGGGAUACACGAACCAUUGAUUAUUGUUUCAAACAAUUUAAAAUUAAAAUUUUAAAUGAAGAUUUUAAAUCUAACUUAGUUCAAACCUAUCACUAUUAAACAAUGAAUGUGUGUUUAGAAAAGAUCUCUUAUUAGAAAAAAAUGUUUGAAUAUCGUAGUAGAAAUAUCACAGACGUCACUUUCUUGGCAGUUUCAAUUUCUUUAUCCUUUUCAGAGUCAAUUUCUUUAUCCUUUUUAGAAAUAUCGCUGAAAAUGACGUUUGCUUAAAAAUAUCUCACGAAGAAAAAAAAUCACAGCUGUUUCAAUUUUAGAGUUUAAAACAUUUAAAAAACAUUUGAAUAUCGCAGUAGAAAAACAAGGUAAAUAAAAUAUGUAGAAAUGAAAUGAUAUUUAGAGUUUAAAACAUUUAAAAAACGUUUGAAUAUCACACCAUGAUUUAUAUAUGUUUAGUCUAAAUGAAAUGAUUUAAUCCUCUCUCCAAAAAUUGAUAUUGAGAGUAUCCAAUAAUGAUUAUGAGCUUUAAGUAGAUUAAGCCCACAAAUCCCUUUAUACAAGGAUAAACGAAGUUUUAGGUUAACUUCCUACCAAACAACAAACACUAUAUAUAAGUGGUUAAUUUUCUUUUCAAACCCGAACACAAUUUUGAGCGGUUAGUCCCCAAGAUAAACAUAUAUUUUAUACGUACUUAUCUCGAACCAAUGUAAAUUUUUGAAUUACCUAUCCUCCAUACUGAAUCAAAAUUUUAUACUUUGAACCAAAUAGAAAUUUUUCAUUAGACUGAACAUACAAACCCAAAAAAAGAUUUUUCACUUAUUAUUUUCAAGAAUCAACACAUAAAACUUUUCCUUAAAUGAUUAAGCUCACAAAUCAAACAUCAACUUAAUUUUAAAUCUCUAAAACAAUUUUUUUUAAAAGAUCUAAAAGAUCUAAGUUGAAACUCAAACAAACACUUUUAAAAAAUAAAUAUUAAAAGCUAAAACAACCUGACUAUUUGUUGAAUUUACAAAUCCUGUCAAAUCUUUUUAAUUUUUAAUUUUAAUAAAUAAAUAAAAAAGAUCUAGGGUUUUAAAGAUAUAAGAAGGUUAUCUGGUUGCGUUUUUUGUUAUUCUUCACGGUGAGGCUUACCCUGUGUCCAAAAUCAGCGAUUUCACAAAGGUAUGUUCAUUACUGCUACACUAUUUCAUUUCACUGAUAUUUCGUUUCGUUGUAUGUUGUUAUCCGUAUUUGUGUUGUUUGUCAGUGUUUUCGGGUUUUUCAACCCUUCAGAAUUCGACCUAAUUACUAUGUGUUGUGUUGAUUUCGAUUUCGCCCUAUUUUUCCAUUAUUUUUUUAUCAAUAUUUAGUUUUUUAGGGCUCUAUUUUCCCCAAAUCAAUCCUUUUUAGCUGUAAAUUGAGCUUUGAGUUACUGAUUUGCUUGAAGGGUGGUUGAGAAGUUUUGUUUUUCUUCAGAUUGGGUUCUAUGUUUUUCUAUGUGGUUUCUAUCUGCUAUUGUUUGUGUGAUAUAGGAUGUUUUUGGUUUUCUUUUCUGGAAUAUGGAUUUAGAAAAUACGCACGUGUAAGCUGAAAUGAGCUUCUUUAACUUGAGAUUGUUGCUCGUUUAUAUGAUUUAGUUGAUAUCACACUGCAAAAUACUAAGAGUCAGUCAAGGACCACAUUUCUAGCUUAUGUUAUGUUUUUGUUUGCAAUCCUGUAAUGCAGUGUUGUCAAAUUCCCACAACAUAUAUUUCAAUUAUACAACCUACUCUGUAUAGGUCUUUCCACUCCGUUGAGUUUUGCUACUAAUAGCUUUUGUUAUGAAAUUUAUGUUUUUAGUUUUUCUACCUUUUAACCAGAUGAAUCGUGAAAAGUUGAUGAAGAUGGCCGGUUCAGUUCGAACUGGUGGAAAGGGUACAGUCAGAAGGUAUGACUUUGGUCUUUUCUAAUAUAACUUGGUUGUCAUAUUUGUCUUGUUAAUAGUUUUAUUACCUUGCUGUGUUCUUCAAAAUUCUUUGAUAGAUCCACCAUUUGUCAUUGGAGUCACUAGCCAUAUGUUGACAUGAGUUUCAGAUCUUAUAUUUCUGUUGAAUAAAUUGUUUUGUUGCGAAUCCAUUAUGCUUUUGCUAAGUUGAAUUAUAUCUUGAUGUUCUGCCUUCUGUUUACCUUAGAAAGAAGAAGGCUGUCCACAAGACAACAACUACAGAUGACAAAAGGCUUCAGAGUACCCUGAAGAGAAUUGGAGUGAAUGCCAUCCCUCAAAUUGAGGAGGUCAAUAUCUUUAAGGAUGAUGUUGUCAUCCAGUUCUUAAGCCCCAAAGGUAAUAACAGUCAACAAUAUUUCAGCGUUAAUGCUUUUAAUAUGACAGGGUUUUUAUAUAUAUUGUUUUUCAGAUUUACCUGACUAUUAAAUUGGAUUGUUUUCUUUCCAGUUCAAGCAUCCAUUGCUGCCAAUACAUGGGUUGUUAGUGGUGCUCCUCAAACCAAGAGUAAGAUACAUUGGAUUAUCUGGAUUAUUUCAUUUAAUUUCGAGUGCACUAAUGCAUUGCUUCCCACAACUUAUGAGCGACCUUCUAUAAUCUGCUGCUUGUUUUUUUGGCUGAUUAUUUACGAUAAUGAAAUUAUAUUUUAAUUUUCCCUUCUGCAGAGUUGCAGGACAUACUUCCUAGCAUUAUCCACCAGUUAGGUACGUGCUUUCAACCUCUUCAAAGGCGUGUUUGGUGUUUUUUUUGUCCUUCCCAUCUUUAUCGUUUUGAAUAUUAUUAUAAUACAGGGCCAGAUAAUUUGGAAAACCUGAAGAAGUUAGCCGAGCAGUUCAAUAAGCAGGUUCCUGAAGCAGGUGCUGGCACAGCCGCCACAGCACAAGAAGAGGAUGAUGAUGAUGUUCCAGAGCUUGUCCCAGGAGAGACUUUUGAGACAGCCGCGGAGGAGGCCAAGGAUAGUUAGUGUGUUAUUGUGGCCAUCUUGUGUUUUUUCAACAAAGAAAAUCUUGAUUUUCAAUUUUGUAUUUUAGGUUGUUUUGUUCUC